rnacentral:tRNA from 1 species
GGGAAUGUAGCUCAAGUAGAUCUUUUUCCUUUUGGAAAGUGACCUAGGUUCAAAUCCCAACAUUCCCU